CCGGAGGGAAGUAUGGACGGCCGGGCCGGGCCGGGCCGGGCGGAGCGUGAAGCCGGGUUAGGGCCCGCCGGGUUUGGGCCCACCGGCUCUCAUCGGUCAUCAAGAACUUGCAGAAAGCCGGGCACGGUGGCUCGCGGUUGUAAUCCCAACACUGUGGGAGUCCAAGGCGCGAAGAUCGCUUGAGCCGAGGAGUUAGAGACCAACUUGGGCAACGUAGGAGACCUCCGUCUCCACAAGUAAAAUUAAUUAGCCGGCUGUGGUGGCGCGCACCUGUGGUCCCAGCUACUCAGGAGGCUGAGGUAGGAGGAUCACCUGAGCCCGGGAGGUCGAGGCCACAGUGAGACAAAAAACAAAAAACCCACCCUGCACAAGAUGCUCAUGUUCCCUGUUUUAUAAUGGCAAAAAAUUAGAAGCAGCUGGGCCGAGAUACACUGCAAAUGCAGAUGAGAAGAAUAAAUAAUGUCCAUAAAACUAGUUUCCCUAUAGACAUUUAAAAGCAUAAGUUGACAUUUAACCAUUUUCCACAGGGAACAGGUAUUUGUUAUAAUAGCAACAGCUACGUUCACUGUUUACUAGGUGUCAGUUGCGGAGCUGGUAUUGUACAUGUCCUCGCAUUUGGCCCUCCUGAAAAUCCGAGAGAGGAGAUGAUGUGUCCAAGGUCACUCUGAGAACUGAACAGAGGGCCGCCUUCUGGGACCCAAGACUCCAGGUUCCAGCCCACUGCCCAGCUGCCUCACCCUGUCAUGAGCACAAUAAAGGAGUUUCAUGAUUAUGUGGAUGUGUCUUUGCAAUCACUCACACUGAGGAUCAUGCUUAUCAUGAAUUAGCCAUUAGUGAUAGCAGCUGGCAACAUCUUAAAGUGGAAAGAGCUGCUUCAGGGCCAGACUCCUUUUAUUCAAAUCCUGGCUCUGACACAAGCAGUACCUCUGUGGCUGGGAGAAUUAACUUCACCUCAGGGAACCUCGAAUUAGGAGUCAGGUUCCAAGAUGCAAACAACACCAACAGCUGUGGGUUUUGAAAACAAUAAAAUUGGAGG
rnacentral:lncRNA from 10 species